rnacentral:misc_RNA from 1 species
GAUGAAGAACGUAGCGAAAUGCGAUAAGUAAUGUGAAUUGCAGAAUUCAGUGAAUCAUCGAAUCUUUGAACGCACAUUGCGCCCGCUAGUAUUCUGGCGGGCAUGCCUGUCCGAGCGUCAUUUCAACCCUCAAGCCCCCGGGCUUGGUGUUGGGGAUCGGCGAGCCUCCGCGCCCGCCGUCCCCUAAAUCUAGUGGCGGUCUCGCUGUAGCUUCCUCUGCGUAGUAGCACACCUCGCACUGGGAAACAGCCCGGCCACGCCGUUAAACCCCCAACUUCUGAACGUUUGACCUCGGAUCAGGUAGGAAUACCCGCUGAACUUAAGCAUAUCAAUAAGCGGAGGA